GGUUUACUUAAUGUGGCAGUGGACGAGGAGUGUUUCUAUUGAUAAUGAGGAGAAAGAGGACGCCGGAUACCGACUACUUUUAAGAGAGCAAAGCCAAAUUUUAUAAGAUUCUCAAUUGAGCCUUCAGAUUAUUUCAUGAUAUAAAAUAAUCAUAAAAUAAGGGAAGAACGUUGAAAUUUUUUAAGCCCUUGACUAAUAAUCACUCAACUUCUUACUUUACUAGUUAAAUUAAAUAAUAAUUUAACUAGUAAUCACCUGGGAAGUGCUGAGUGUAUAUUCAGGACCUCCUGUGAUUUCUUUCAAAUUCAGACAAUGGAGUUUCUUUGAAGGACCUUUCAAAGGCCAUGCUCCUAACGGAGAAAAGGUUGAGUUCUAUGGCUCAGGAGUCCUCAACGUGGAUGAAUCUAUGAGGGCAGAAGAUGUAGAAAUUUACUAUGACCCAGCAGAGUUAAUUGGAGGGCUACUGAUCUCACCAUCCCAAUCAGAACCAGAAGACAACACUGUCAACACUGCAACAGCAACACAUGGCUGCCCAUUUUCUAAAAAAAAGUAACUGGACAUGUGAAGACAUUGUGCUACUGCUAGCUAUUGUUUUGUUACUCUUGUUUGUACGAUGAAUCAAUCCACUUGUUUGCUUUUAUUACCAUUUUAUCUA